rnacentral:scRNA from 1 species
UUCAAGGCAGUCAUGCGGUGGUCAUCGGCCAC